rnacentral:lncRNA from 1 species
UGUUGAAGACUGUACUCUCUCUCUCUCUCACAGUCGGAGAAGGACUCGCCGGAAGAUAGAUAAACGACAGAUAACUCUCUCUCACUCUCUCUAUCUAUAAUCUAUCAAUCGAACUUCUUUAUCUUUCUCUCUCUCUCUCUCUGUGUGUCUCUGUCCCUUUGCUUUGCUUGUUUGAGAGAAAAAAUGGAGUCUCUAUAUGCAUCAAUUUAUAACAUUUUUAUUCCACACUAUCUCUCUCUAUCUCUCCACAUGACUGAAAA